rnacentral:rRNA from 1 species
UACGUAGGAGGCGAGCGUUGUCCGGAGUUACUGGGCGUAAAGGGUGCGCAGGCGGUGGCCCGCGUGGGCGGUGAAAGCUCCUGGCUCAACUGGGAGAGGGCCGUCCAGACGGGGUCACUUGAGUUCGGGAGAGGGCAGUGGAAUUCCUGGUGUAGCGGUGAAAUGCGUAGAUAUCAGGAGGAACACCGAUGGCGAAGGCAGCUGCCUGGCCUAGAACUGACGCUGAGGUGCGAAAGCGUGGGGGAGCGAACAGG